rnacentral:tRNA from 1 species
GCGUUCUUAGCUCAGUUGGUUAGAGCGCUACGUUGACAUCGUAGAGGUCGGCAGUUCGAAUCUGCCAGAACGCA